rnacentral:rRNA from 1 species
GGUUGAUCCUGCCAGUAGUCAUAUGCUUGUCUCAAAGAUUAAGCCAUGCAUGUCUCAGUGUAAACUUUUAAACAGUGAAACUGCGAAUGGCUCAUUAAAACAGUUAUAGUUUAUUUGAUAGUCAACUUUACAUGGAUAACCGUGGGAAUUCUAGGGCUAAUACAUGCGCAAACCCGCAAGGGAUGUGUUUAUUAGAUUAAAACCAUCACUGUAGCAAUACAGUUGUAUUGGAAUGAUAAUAACCGUUCGGACCGCAUGCUUUUAGC